rnacentral:rRNA from 1 species
AGGCCGCUACCUGGCGACAGGAUGCCAAUCCCCAAAACCUCUCUCAGUUCGGAUCGAAGUCUGNAACCCGACUUCGUGAAGCUGGAUUCGCUAGUAAUCGCGCAUCAGCCAUGGCGCGGUGAAUACGUUCCCGGGCCUUGUACACACCGCCCGUCAAGCCAUGAAAGCCGGGGGUACCUGAAGUACGUAACCGCAAGGAGCGUCCUAGGGUAAAACUGGUAAUUGGGGCUAAGUCGUAACAAGGUAUC